rnacentral:rRNA from 1 species
GGAUUUCUGUCGUGGUCAUCCGGCACCGCCUGUAUAGGUGUGCGCCUGGUUUGCCCUCGGCUUUCUUCUGGUAGCCCUCCGCGCUUCACUGCGUGUGUGGGUGUUCCGGAACUUUUACUUUGAGAAAAAUAGAGUGUUUCAAGCAGGCUUGCCGCCCUGAAUACUUCAGCAUGGAAUAAUAAGAUAGGACCUUGGUUCUAUUUUGUUGGUUUCUAGGACCAAGGUAAUGGUUAAUAGGGACAGUUGGAGGCAUUCGUAUUUAACUGUCAGAGGUGAAAUUCUUAGAUUUGUUAAAGACGAACUACUGCGAAAGCAUUUGCCAAGGAUGUUUUCAUUAAUCAAGAACGACAGUAGGGGGUUUGAAGACGAUUAGAUACCGUCGCAAUCUCUACCAUAAACUAUGCCGACUAGAGAUAGGGAAUGCAUUAUUCCAAUCUUCCCUGCACCUCAUGAGAAAUCAAAGUCUCUGGGUUCUGGGGGGAGUAUGGUCGCAAGGCUGAAACUUAAAG